rnacentral:tRNA from 1 species
GGUGGCUCAGUGGUAGAGCUCUUGCCUUGCAUGCAUGAGGCCUGGGUUCAAUUCCUCAGCACCA